CUCCUCAGUAGUUUGCUCUUCAUGGAGAUGGACAAGGAAAUAUGUGCUACAUUCAGGGAUGAUCAGAGCAACAGUGACUUUGUUAUCAUCAGCUGCAAGAUGUACCAGUUAAGCAUGCCUGCUACCAUAACCGAACUGUUGUAUAAGACCUUGAACCUUCUUCUUAAUUCUAGUGCUUUCCUGAUAUUUCUUGAUGCUAUACUGCUUUUUGAGGAAGAAAUACAUCAGUGACAAUUUAGAAGCAGUCAGCUAUCCUCUUCACAAAAUAUCUGGAGAUGGCCUGAGAAAAACUCUGAUGACUGCAUGUAAAAAAAACACCCUGUUUUUUUAUGAAGGAAGGGAAAUCAGAGGCUGUUGUUCAAGACCCACCAUGGAGUUUAAGGCUGCAUCAUCCUUGAUCCUCCAAAAGAUGUCUAACACAAUGCCAACCUGGGAUUCAGGAAAGCCUUGUUGGCUCUUCACUCAGCAUUUGCAAACCCUGGCACUUGCAUUCCUGGUACCAAUUUGGUGUAACUCUAUUGGAUCAUGAGGGACAAGGGAGUUACCCAUCAAGAUGUCUCACCAUGUUUGCUGUUGUGACCU
rnacentral:lncRNA from 1 species